rnacentral:misc_RNA from 1 species
AAGAUAUCAUAAACAGCCUAGCUGGGUGAAGCUUGUAAUAACUAUGAAUUCGUUUUCCUAAUGAUUUAAGCAUCUUGACAGGAUAAAAAUUCGAUUUUUUCGCCUUUCUUGAUCUUUUAACAGUACCUGAUUCCAAAUCAAAAUCGCCCCUUAAAUAGGCCUGGAAAGAUUUAGGACUACCAGACCCACCUGAAUAGUUUUUCUUCAUAUGGGUUUGAUAAAGGCAGAUAAUUCAAACAUACCCAGAUACAAAAUUGGGGAAUAAUUCAGUGGAAGCAUGAAAUUAUCAUUCUAACAAAAUGCAAGCAAAUUGGGAUUCUCAAAGCACCAUUCAAUUGAAUCUAACAGAUAAAAAUUAGGGAAUGAAA